GAAUUGGUAGUUGAAGGCAGGUUCAUCGUUUCGCUCCGACUCUGUGUUGGACACUAUUACAUGUCAUUCUCCAUAAAAAGCCUCACAAUUUGGAUCUAUCAUUGUAGAUUCUUCUUCGUUUAGGGUAUGCUAUCGCUGGCCUCCUUUGCCUAGCAAUAGCUCUGUAACCCUCUCCAUCAUGUUGUUUCUUUCCUUGUGCAGUUGGAUCAGAUCGGCUUCCCUAUGGAUAAGACCUUCAUGACUAGCCAUCGCAAUCUCGAGCUGUCUUUGAACUAUGCUAUGAUACCACUUGAUGCAGGAAGGAAAAGUGGGAAAUUGAAU
rnacentral:lncRNA from 1 species